CAGUUCUCUACUGAUGUGAAUGCUGAUCUGCACAUCUGUAUGCUAUUAUACAUGCUUUCCUAUAGCUCAUAGAAUAGAAAUGAAACAGAUACUGUUGUUAGGGAUAUUGGAAUUGGAGGAAUCUUGUGUUGGGACUCCCUUAGAAACAUAGAAUGUGACGGCAGAUAAGAAUCAUUCGGACCAUCUAGUCUGCCCAAUAUUUCAAAA